rnacentral:rRNA from 1 species
CCUACGGGAGGCAGCAGUGGGGAAUAUUGGGCAAUGGGCGCAAGCCUGACCCAGCAACGCCGCGUGAAGGAAGAAGGCUUUCGGGUUGUAAACUUCUUUUGUCAGGGAAGAGUAGCAGACUGUACCUGACGCCUAAUCCACGGCUAACUACGUGCCAGCAGCCGCGGUAAUACGUAGGUGGCAAGCGUUGUCCGGAUUUACUGGGUGUAAAGGGCGUGUAGCCGGGUUGACAAGUCAGAUGUGAAAUCCUGCGGCUUAACCGCAGAACUGCAUUUGAAACUGUUGAUCUUGAGUACUGGAGAGGCAGACGGAAUUCCUAGUGUAGCGGUGAAAUGCGUAGAUAUUAGGAGGAACACCAGUGGCGAAGGCGGUCUGCUGGACAGCAACUGACGGUGAGGCGCGAAAGCGUGGGGAGCAAACAGGAUUAGAUACCCUUGUAGUC